CUAUGAAGUUCAACUAAUCUGAAAGUAAUGCUGAGAUCUGAAGCAAGCAUGAAUACUGAUGAAGGCUAAAAGGAUGCCAAAUUAAACCUCAACUCAUAUCCUCUUUGUUGUAAAAAAGAGUGGUGUACAAGCAAUACCAGUGAUGCUGCUGCUGCUGUGACAAAAUGUACUGUAAGACUGCGCAUUUUCAGACUUCAAAUAUUUGAUCUGUUCUUUUCUCGAUACAAGGCAACUUCAGCUUCUGCAGAAAGCUCCUCCACUCAGUUUUAGGCACUACCUGAACUCAGCUGUCAGCUCCCUAUAUGGACAAUGAUAAAAAUAACACGCCCAAGAUACGAUUUAGAUUUUAGGUGGGCAAAUCAUUCUCUACGUGAGCUUCUCUCAUUUCAUUGAAUACUGAAGAAACCUGGGAGAAAUAUUCUCUCGGUUUAGUUGCCUUGAGUAGAUUGGAUCAAUUCAGGACUAUGGGAAAAAUAUAAAUGCUCAUUUGAGUGCUAAGAAGCAAAUUAUCCACUAUAUAAGCUCCACUGAAUGCAUCCAACAAUACAGGAUAGCAAGGUACUUGAGCAACAGAAUGUUGCUGUCACAUUUAGUUUAAGCAUCAUAAUAUUUGUAUAUAUUUCUUUAUUUUUAUACAGUUAGAAGUAUAAUUCACCAUCUUGUAGAGAAAUAACAAGUCGCGGGCAACCAGUAAAGGUCUGUGCCCUAAACUACAAAGAUACUGUAUUAGUUGAUGGUAAAGGUGAUUGAAUUUGAAAUGUAAAGCAAAUAGUGAGAAUGUGGCUGUAUACAUCAUCUGUUUUAUGUCCUCUCACAUCAAGUGUAUCUUGGUGUUAGAUAUUUCAGCUACUAACUGAUCUUUUUUGUUCUUCUAAAGAUGGAGUUUCAGACUAAGUUAGUAUUAUUCAGCUAAAGCUUUUUCUGAUGUCAGGACUAAAUAGAAUUGCAACUCCAGCUGUCAGCUUCCAGCAGCCAAUAACAACCCUAUUUACUUGGAAUUUUUGCCAAUUUUAAUUAGUUAUUUUAUACACUAGUAUGUGCAAGCACUGCACUUAACUAGUGCCAUGUCUAUAUAUGUGUUCUUUACCUUAAAGACUGGUGCAGUCCUAUGUUUUUAUAGUAGAAGAUGGAAAAGAAUUCCAGUGUAUUCCCCCAUCCACUUUUCUAAUACAUCAAAACUUAUUUAUUUGGUUGCUUUUUACCAGACAUGCAUCUACUCAGGAAGAUAGCUAAUUAAGUCUGAAAAAGCUUUUGGCAAAUUUACCUGCAAUGUUAAUAAACUAUUUUUACUUUAUGUGUGCAUCUAUAUGAAUAUACAUAUGUACUCACACAUAUGGCUGAACAUAUGCUUAGGACAAUUAAAAGACAAUACCAAGCAAAACCAAAAA